rnacentral:rRNA from 1 species
GACAGAACAGGCAAGCGUUGUUCGGAAUCACUGGGCUUAAAGCGCGUGUAGGCGGCUUGGCAAGUACCUUGUGAAAGCCCCCGUCUCAACCGGGGAACUGCUGGGUAUACUGCCAGGCUUGAGGCAGGUAGGGGUGCCUGGAACUCUAGGUGGAGCGGUGAAAUGCGUAGAUAUCUAGAGGAACGCCCGUGGCGAAAGCGGGGCACUGGGCCUGACCUGACGCUGAGGCGCGAAAGCGUGGGUAGCAAACGGG